AAGUGUCACUAUAACAAAAACGAUUUAUAGCGACACUUUUAAAUAUAGGUAUAUGUCAAAAAAAUAUUGCUAGCUAAAAUUACCGACACUUUUAAAAAGUAUUGCUAUACGUGGGAUCGCUAGGUAUAUAGUGACAGUUAAAGAGUGUCGCUAUAACCUAAAAGAGUGCUGCUAAUUUACCAACACUUAUUUAAGCAUUUAGCAACCGCCAAAACUCUAUCUCGUUGGCUGCGGUGGCGGAGGAGGACGACAGGAAAGGCUCUUCGUCUAGAAUUUCAGUGGAUUGAGUAAAGAGAGUAGAAAAGAUGGUAGUUGAUUUUUUUUUUUUUUUUUUCUGUUUGUACGGGUCAAAUGGACUGGGUGUGGUGGGUUGAGUAGAGUAAUCUUUUAUUUUUGGUUGGAUUGGGCUUUAUAUUUAGGCAUUAGUAGAUGUUUUUUUAAAUUUUAGUAUAAAUGGGACACUUUCAAAAAUGUUCCAAAUAUGUGUUUCUAUAACCUAAUUCUGUUGUAGUGUGUGUAUGAUAUAUCUAGCUCAACGACUUAAACUGAGAUAAUUUUUACCAAUCACAUCU
rnacentral:lncRNA from 1 species